ACCGGCAGCUCAAGUGGUGGCCAUUUUUAUUGGGCCUAAAGCGUUCGUAGCCGGUUUGAUAAGUCUCUGGUGAAAUCCCGCAGCUUAACUGUGGGACUUGCUGGAGAUACUAUUAGACUUGAGGUCGGGAGAGGUUAGGGGUACUCCCAGAGUAGGGGUGAAAGCCUAUAAUCCUGGGAGGACCACCUGUGGCGAAGGCGCCUAACCGGAACGAACCUCCCGGUGAGUAACGAAAGCCAGGGGCGCGCGUCG
rnacentral:rRNA from 1 species